rnacentral:rRNA from 1 species
AGCGAACGCUGGCGGCAGGCUUAACACAUGCAAGUCGAGCGGGCAUCCUUGUGGUGUCAGCGGCAGACGGGUGAGUAACGCGUGGGAACGUGCCCUUCGGUUCGGAAUAACUCAGGGAAACUUGAGCUAAUACUGGAUACGUGCGAGAGCAGAAAGGUUUAUCUGCCGAAGGAUCGGCCCGCGUCUGAUUAGCUAGUUGGUGAGGUUACGGCUCACCAAGGCGACGAUCAGUAGCUGGUCUGAGAGGAUGAUCAGCCACACUGGGACUGAGACACGGCCCAGACUCCUACGGGAGGCAGCAGUGGGGAAUAUUGGACAAUGGGGGCAACCCUGAUCCAGCCAUGCCGCGUGAGUGAUGACGGCCUUAGGGUUGUAAAGCUCUUUUCUCCGGGACGAUAAUGACGGUACCGGAGGAAUAAGCCCCGGCUAACUUCGUG